AAAUAGUUGAUUGCUGCUCGCAAAUCUUAUAUUUAUUUGAUAAGAAAUUUGAAUUCGUGCGCUGGCGUUUCAUGAUUCAUUUAUCAUUUUAUUGUGAUUUGAUGCAAAAAGAGUACCUCAUGCUUAGUUUUUAAUGCAAUUAUACAAAUUUUAUCUAUACUUAUACACUUCUAAUUCAGAUCUAAAGAAAAGAAGGGGCAAUUUCUGUACCUUAAGUUACAGAUCUGUUAGGCAUUUCUUUGUUGGUAUUGAUUCAGUUUUAGAGGGAUGUUGGUCUCUUUCAUCUGUGCUUUUUUAUAUCAUUUUUUUUCAUGUUGGUAAAUAAACAUAAUAAAUAAAUAUUGCAAUUUCACUUAUUUGUGUUUUAUGAAAAAUACAUGGUUAAAGAGCAAGAAGUGGAAUUGAAACCAACAAUGAUAACAUAUCAUUGAGUUGGGCCCCAAACUUGAAAGUUGAAACUGUCGAUGGUGGCGUCGGCCGGUCACAACAGUGUUCGAAAUUGAACUGAAUAUGAUGCUGCUAAUUACUGCACUGCCAUGAUCUGUAUGCUUUGUUUUGAGUCGGUUGAAACUGUUGGGUUUGGAAUAGUAUAGCUUUCUUUCACGCCAUUGUUGCUACUACUUUGUGUUGUACUAUGGCUACCAUUUCAUGUUAUUAGAGCUGAACUGCUGAUUUCAUAGGAUAUGUCAAAACGCGUCAGUUCUAUGUGCUAAAUUUAUAGCCUUAUGAUAAACUUACAAUAAAGGAGCAGCCUUUAUGAUAAAUUUCUUAUGUUAUACAGGAGAUUAAAGCAAAGGAGAUUAUGGCUGAAAUAAGGGAUAUUUUAGAGAAAGAGAAGGAUACCAACAUCGUUUACCUAGAGCAAGCGAAACCAUAAGUGGCUAAGAAUGAACCGUAGAACUUGCUGCAGAUGGCUAGAUGUUGGAAAAAACUGUCUGUGCAGUUUCAGCAAAGGACAGAAAAUGCUUUGCUCAUUAGUUCCAAGUUGCUCCACGUGAAUCGAUUAUUAGCAAGGCUACCUGCAUCACAGAUGGCUAACAUUCGACCGUGUUUUGAUAAUGUGUUUGUUGAGGUUGCCAUUGCCUUCAAUAAAAUAGCUAAUGGCAUAAAGAUCCAAAGUGUUGAGAAUCAAAGUCACCUCAUGAGCUUACUACCACAUUGAACCCGCCAUCUUAACAAUUUGGAAUGGUUAUACUAGCAGUGUUGCAGCUAAGAGUUUUUUUGACUGCUGAACGAGUUGAAAGCUCAUGGCUGGUUUAUUUUUGGACAUCCAAUUUUGUGACUAUUUUCGUCUUAUUUUUUCGAAUUUCUAGCACUUGUUAACUCAACUAUUCAAGAUGUGGUUUUUCUGCUGCCAUUUUUAUGAUCAAUUGACUUGGAUACUAUUUAAAGAUA